GUUUUGGAGAUGUACAUCAUAGUUAUCACAGUAGGAGCUUUCUUCUUUUGGGAUUUGGAUGAAAGUUUGCUGCUAAGUUUGCUCUGAUGGAUGUAAUGUCUUUAGAGCGAUCAUGAAGAAGACCAAAGGAGAUGAUACACUGGUUCCAGUUUUAUCAGCACAUUUAAGCAUCUUAUUGCACAUAAGCUAGCGGAAGAAGAAGCUGAACUUUAAGCUAAGGAUCAAGCUAGAAAGGCUAAACAUUUGGACGAAGAACAUGUUAAACUUGGAAAUUAGUUGGAUAGCCAUGAAAGAUUCUAAUUGGUGUUGCCACUAGAUCUAAAAGAUAAACAAGGCGUAACAUGCUCAGAAGGGUUUGAAUCCUUCCUGGUCAAGAGAUACUAAAGGUAGGCUUAAGAUACUGAUAUUUUUAGGGUGUUUUAGAUUUAAAAUAUGUGAUAUGUUAUGUAGGUUUUAGUUCCGAGUCCUCCAUACAAAUUCCAUGACUUCGGUUUUGACUUUGAGCAAUGUGGAAAAGCGAUCCGUGUUUAGAAUAUGCACCUUGGAAUGGAGGUUAGCCAAAUGCGUCAGUGAUAACAUCUUAAAUGUCUUUCUAAUCUCAAUCAGUACAAAUUUAAAAUUCUGAUUUUAGUUAUUGGAGAAGUUGUUGUUUGUUCAACUCUGAGAACCGGAUGGAAUCUUAAGAGAAUCAUUGUUGAGGUGAAUAUCAUUUUGUUGUGUCUUUCUAGCACCAUCGAUGCUACUCUAUAUAUAAUUGAUCUCUUUUACUUUU